GACGAACGCUGGCGGCGUGCUUAACACAUGCAAGUCGAACGAAGAGCGAUGGAAGCUUGCUUCUAUCAAUCUUAGUGGCGAACGGGUGAGUAACGCGUAAUCAACCUGCCCUUCAGAGGGGGACAACAGUUGGAAACGACUGCUAAUACCGCAUACGAUCCAAUCUCGGCAUCGGGACUGGAUGAAAGGUGGCCUCUAUUUAUAAGCUAUCACUGAAGGAGGGGAUUGCGUCUGAUUAGCUAGUUGGAGGGGUAACGGCCCACCAAGGCGAUGAUCAGUAGCCGGUCUGAGAGGAUGAACGGCCACAUUGGGACUGAGACACGGCCCAGACUCCUACGGGAGGCAGCAGUGGGGAAUCUUCCGCAAUGGACGAAAGUCUGACGGAGCAACGCCGCGUGAGUGAUGACGGCCUUCGGGUUGUAAAGCUCGGUUAAUCGGGACGAAUGGUUCUUGUGCGAAUAGUGCGAGGAUUUGACGGUACCGGAAUAGAAAGCCACGGCUAACUACGUG
rnacentral:rRNA from 1 species